rnacentral:lncRNA from 1 species
UGCUGGGACAUAUAGAAGCAGCUUUUCUUCCUGCUUACAAGAUCUACUCUGUCUUGUUGGAGGGGAAAAUGAGUGCAUCCUCACUGGGGGUUUAUAAUCUCCCUCCAACUAAGGACACCUGGAACCAGAGAGUUGCUCCUCCUUUUGAUUCUUCACAUCUUUGAUGCCAUCCUCUUCUCUCCUGAACAAGAUGUCCUCUUCUUGAAUCAAAGAUGUAAUGCCAAAAUUCUGACUCUAUGCGGGAGAUCAUUUUGUUUUCAUGAGAAGAAAGCAAAACAUUUUCCUCUUCUUUCUGUAGGAGAAGCCAUAUUUAUAUAAGUCAUGAUUUUAAAAGACUUAUGGUUUCCAAACCCAAGCAGGCACUAUCUCUCUAUUUUUUACCUGAACAAUCUUCUGACAUGCCAAGAAAUUGACUGCACUGGGCUGCAGCUCUUGUCUUCAGGCCAGCAGAAAAACAUUAACACUUUCCUGCUUGUCAUACAAGGAUCACACUAACUCAUAGAACUGACUUCUAGUGCUGAUGGCAACUUGAGCCACAACAUUCAAGGAGUUCAAGGAAGAAUUUAUAGCCUCACUGUGAAGAGCUCUUUAGAAGUGCCCUUUCUAGAACGAACUUCUGGUGAGUCAUCAUCAAUACCUCAUCCUUGUGUCAGACCUCAUCAGGUGUACUUGUCAAUGGAAAAUGUUCCUAAGCCAGUACUUCAAGGAGAGUGUGCAUCUACCUUCUGAGAUUUACUGAAUUACAGCGACCACAAAUAUCCCUCGAGUCAAGUGGGCUAGAGGGUCUGAAAUACAGGCAGGUAUACCUGCAGCAGGGCAGCACAAUGGAUCCAGAUCCUACUGACAAUCAGGGCUGCUUCCGUGGACUUUUGCAGAAGGUCUUUUUAUUCAAGAAUGUGCCUUCCUUUAGUGACGUCUAAUUAUAUGUGAAUUUAGUCAAGAAAAAUGGCAACCGUAUUAUAAUAAGCUAGAAAGUCUUUAGGCCUAGUGUUUUUCAAAUUUUCCUGGUAAGAAGCUUAUUAGGGGGAGCCCAUUAAGAAUACAGAAUUCCAAGCCAAACCUGAGAUCCACUGAAUCAGAAUCUACAAGAGUUAGAUAAUUGGUAUUUUUUAUUGAAAGUCUCAAGUAAGUCUUGAGUUCAAGCAAGAAUAAGAAAUACUGUUUAAGCCAAUAAGGAGGAAGUCCAAUAAGAAUACAUCAGUCCAAGGUCCCCUUAGCCCAGCAUUCAAGGUCUGACAGUAGCCUACUAUCUAUCUGCACUUAUCUGAAAGGGAAAGGCAGUUGUGGUAUAAUAGAAUGAGCAUUGGA